rnacentral:rRNA from 1 species
UGGGGAAUAUUGCACAAUGGGCGGAAGCCUGAUGCAGCGACGCCGCGUGAGGGAUGACGGCCUUCGGGUUGUAAACCUCUUUCAGCAGGGACGCGGUACCUGCAGAAGAAGCGCCGGCCAACUACGUGCCAGCAGCCGCGGUAAGACGUAGGGCGCGAGCGUUGUCCGGAUUUAUUGGGCGUAAAGAGCUCGUAGGCGGCUUGUCGCGUCGACUGUGAAAACCUGCGGCUCAACUGUGGGUCUGCAGUCGAUACGGGCAGGCUAGAAUUCGGUAGGGGAGACUGGAAUU